UUCAAUUCAGUUCAGUUUUAUUCAUAUUGCCCACUAUUGAAACACGGUUGUCUUAACGGGUUUACACCAGCAACAACACACACACAAAGGACUAUAGGUAAGUCAGUAGCAGAAAAAAAAGAAACGCAAGGAAUGUACACAUGAAGAGGGGAUCCUCUACCAGGAUGGACAGGCGAUGUACCAGGACUGUUAAAGAAGAAUUCUUUUAUGUAACACCACAACUACGUGUUUAAAUAGUGUAGCAGAUGGGCUUCAUUCAGAUAAAACGGGGAUGGUCAGGGCACGACGAGCCAGAGGUGAGGUCUACGGCCAAGGAUGGGAGCAGGAGCACAGACGAGCCAACUGAAAUCUGGAAAUCACUUUUGUCCGCAUUGCUAUUUGGACAUUUUAAACUUUCAUAUAUAUCUAUAUCUAUAUCUAUAUAUCUAUAUAUCAAUAAUAACAAUCCACAGAACUAAUCUCUAGAAAAUAAACAAGUGGCAGGAAAUUGUGCAAUGGCAAAAAUCUAUCAUUAAAAUCAGAAUUUCGAAAAUAAAUGUCAGUUAUAAGGUCAGAGUUAAAAACAGAAAAUCCAAAACAGUCAAAGUUGUAAAGUCCAAAGAAGGAAAAGAAAACUGGAGAUGGUUAAAAACAUCCAUAAAGAAAUAAACAAGGGUAUGGCAGCAUAAUGUUUUAUUUUAAUUAGGGUUGUGCUUAUGUCAAGCCCCUGAAAAGACCAGCAGUAUUUUUUAACACCCUUUUACAUAAAUUAAAGAGAUGGAACACAUACAGCAGUCGAGGAUAGUCAUGCAGUUGAGCAUUAAAGAACUGUUCUUCUUGUUUUUCGACAUGUAGAGUUACUGCUCAUAAAGUUUCUCAAGCCAGCUGUAGACGAUAAGGAUGCUGGGUUAAUGUGAGUUGGCACACUGUCUUAUUUGAGCAAUGCUGGAGAAUUUCUGCUCCUCUUCCCUCCCCGAAGGACACUGGCAACAAAGUGGGGCAAUGAAGGAUUCUUUGAUUUAAAAUCAGUUGAACCAUUUUGACCUUUUCAAAAAUAUCAAAGCAGCAACUUUGCGUGAUUCCUUGUAGUAACUGCAAUUCAAUCAAACAUGCAAGUGUCAGAGCAGAUGGCAGAUUAUAGGAUGAUUUCCAGUCAUGCUUUCUUUUACUCUUUGCUUUAAUUUCAUUGCUUGGUUCCUUGAGCUGCACAGAAGCUUAUGGGUUCUCAAGCUUCUGUGCCGCUUAGGCAUGCAUAAAUAAUGAGACAAAGCUUGAAACUGUUCCUUGCAGGUGUUAAGAGAUAACAAUCAUUGAAAUAGCAAGAGUUGUACAACAAGGCUCCCCACCACUGAUUAACUAAAGUUAUUUGUAUGUGACUCAACAUCUACCCUUCUUCUCUUAGAAAAGGUCGUUGACCCUGUCAUGGAGAUGACCUGUUAAAAAACAGUAGGCUUGUGUUAUCUGUAUGCCCUUGGAGUAUACGCCUAUUGAUAUGCCACCGUGACUCUAUCUUCAUGCCAAAAUGCUUCCAAUUAUACGAGCCGGUGGAGUGAGGCAGGGCGUGGGUUUCUGUACGAUGAAAACUGGUCGAUGUGAUUUGAUCCUGCUUUUUUUUUUUUCCUCAUAAACACUAUUUGCUCAACAGUUCCCUCAAUUCAUCUCUUUUUCCCAAAGUCCUAUAGACACGCAGAAGUAAAUUGAUCUAUUUUAUUAAUUGUACACCAAAGGGACUUUAUCAGACCAUCAGUGGUUAUCUUUAACAGUCCAAUAUGUCAAUAGGGGAUGUGGGCAUUUUGAGCCUUUCUUUAGGUGCAGCAUGUGGUCAAACAGCCUGGAUGAGCUGAUCACUCUGAGCGGAUUUGUCGCUAACAAUCUGUCACACAGCUGAAGUGUCAGGCUAAGAGAUGGAUGGCCCCCAGCAAAAUGAUGGGUAGAUGGAGAAGAGUUAAGUAUAUAGUCCCAGAAUUGUCACUGGGACAUUGUUUGUUCCAAAAAUAUACCUAAUGCUUCCCAGGGAAAUUCGGGGUGAUCUGUCUUCUUCUGUUCACUUAUUCUCUUCUCACCUCUCUCAUCCAACUGUCAAUGGUAAAUACUUUUGAGUUUAAAAAAAUAAUUUCCCUUGGCAUCCCUUUUUUUUUUUUUUUUUAAGAAAAAUGCACAUAUUUUCUGUUUUCCAGAAGAGGGCAGCACUUCUUUGCCAAACAUCAUCAUCCCUUCAGUUUACAAAACAUUCAAAGCUCAUUCAUUCUUUUUGCACAUCAGACCCCUAAUAUUUGGGGGUCACAGAAAAGCCAGAGUCUGUCACAGAUCCCAAAUAAGUAAUAAAUUAACUAAGUUAGAGUAUGUUUACACAAACAAAAAAACACAGAGCAUGAGGAAUUAAAAAAAAAUUCCCAUUGAAGCUGUUGAGGUUCAUGAAAAACUCUGCAACCCAAAAUGCAGUGAACUUCUGUCACCUCUAGUUGCACCUCCACUUGAUCUUCUUCACCCUCUCUUCCCUUUCUCUGUCGUUUAGCCUCCCUUUUUGUCCCCCCUACUUCUCCCUCAAAGCUUCGGCUCCACCCUAUAAUCACGCCAGUUCAUGGCUCUCAUUUGGAGUGGUAUAUAUAGCAGUAAUUGUCAGGGUGCAGUACAGCGACUGGGCAGAGCAUGUGUACUCUCUCACAGAGCUGUUUUGCAGUAAAUCUCCCAGGGGAGAGGAGAAGAGAGGGUGGGGAGGAGUUGGGGUUACGUACGUGCACAAGAACAUGCGCGCACGCACACGCAGACAAAUUAAUUUACACGUUUUGCUCAAACAGUGCAUACGUGCAUGGAUGACUAGUUGAAAUUUCUCGAGCACCUUCAGCAAGAAAAGGCAUUAGCAAGCACUUUCUCCGCCUUUGUAAGUCACUUUGUAACACUGCCUAUCUGUCUUCACAGCGAGGUUGGCAUGAACACAGAGCAUGUCUCAAAAUGUGUUUUUCCAUCAACAGAAAACAAUUAUUCAAGGAGGCAUCUCCUACUUACAGCCACGAGUAAGAGCAAAUCAAUUAUAAGCAGGAGAAAGCUCUAGACAUCAUUUGUUUAGGUUCUAGGAGCAGAGGCUCAUCUCACAAUGCGUGAUAAAUAAAUGAGUCACUUUGGGACAAAAUGCUCCCAUGUGCCCUUCAGGGAAACACAAAAGGCUUUUUAAAAUUUAAAGGUUGAUCCAAAUCCCUCAUCGUCAGAGGUGCACAGAACGCAGCCUCCAUAGGGGAUGAUGGCAGACGUUUGUUAUGACAUUUUGCACAUGGGCCUGUGAAAGUAUUUUAAAGGGGGGGUGCAGCUUGUAUGGACAGGUCUGUCUUUCACACAGCACACACAGUCUCCAUUGUGGAACUGUCUGUGGUCCCCAUCGACUAAGGGUGGGGUGGCAGGGGGCCUUCUACAUAAAAACAUGGUCCUGCACACAGAAAGCAAAAACCGUGAGGAUAAAAUGAGAACUGCGUGGUCAUGAACGUGCAGUCUUCAGAAGCCUUUCUCUUUUUGGUUGGAUUCACCUCAACACAGCACACGGGUAUGCUUGGAUUUUCAGAUGUGCGUCCUGAGAUGUAAUCAAAGUCUGACAAAAUCACAUUCUUUGAAAACUAUUUUUAGAUGCAAGUGUGUGCCAUAGGAGCCUAUCGUUCUGAUCUCUUCCAAGUUGGAAUCGCUUCCAGAAUCAAUGGAUUCCUGUUUAGCUAGAAUUUUGAAUAGAAGAUUCAUUCUUCCAUCCGUGCUCCGUGCGUACACCUGUGGAGCAGGCUGGAGCCUAUCUCACCAGUUACGGGUUGAGGGACGGGGUAUGCUCAGAUAAGCAGUUCAACACAAAACCCAGACAGACUAGCAGGUACACUCACACUUCUAUCUGGUUGACUGAAACCCCCCCCCCCCCUGGUGAAAGGCACACAGAUGUUAACAGGAAUAGACUGUGCUUAAAGUAAAUGAAAGGAUGCAGAACACGUGUUAGUGCACUUGAUGAACCCAGGUACUCUGCUUUCAUGUAUUCUUUCCUGUUUGUCCAGUAGCACUUUUAUCCCAGCCAGUGACCACUUCGCUGUUUAUUUUCUGGGUGGAUUUGUCAGCUGUGAUCAAAUCGUACUUUUGUUGAAUUUUUUUUUUUCUUUCAUUGCUGAUUACUCCACCCAGUUCUAGCAGACCCAAUGCGCUUGAGUUCAGGCGUUACAUUUGGGCUUGGUCUGUGUAUUUUUGUUUCUAGACUAGUUAAGUGAUUUCUCAGUUCCCAGGACAGGUUGUAUUUACAGAGGAUUUAUUUCAAGCACAUCUAACAGCUUGAAAAAGUUUGUCUUUGCAUCGGUUAUUCCCAAAGGUUCUUAGGAACACCUGAGGCUACAGGCGGAGGUGUAACCAGUUUUUGGGUAAAUUCAGUCUUCCUUUGAAUCAACUCAAAGGGGCAUCCUUAUAAAUGCAAAACUUUCCUUUUUUUUUAUUUCCAGCUGCAGUCUGUGCAUUUCCCAGAGCUAAGGAAACCUCCCCUGACAGUCUGGCAUUCAGCACCCCUGUGUAGAAAGGUGGUCUCAGUGUCCCAUCAGAUCAAUGUUCAACAAAGCAUUUACUAUCUAAAGAUGACAAUUGCAGUUUAUAGGAUACUUUUUGAUCAAUUAUUGUUUGGUGUCGAGCAUUAACAUCAAGACGGGGAAAGAAAAUGAAGGCUUAGUGUUAGAUGAAGGUUUAUUGAUUCACAGUAAUGAUGAGUGAAUGGAUUGUGUUUUGACUCUGACUCAGCCAGUGUGUAUCCACAGUUAUCUGAACUUCCCCUCAGGGCAAAAACAAACAAAAGCACAUCACAUGCGCGCUUUAAAUUUUACCUGUGAAAAAAAAAAAA